rnacentral:lncRNA from 1 species
UGACCUUACACUAUCAUCCUCCGCCGCGGCCACUAUCCCUCCAACCUACUAAGAAGAGUAGUGACGCACACAUGCACUAUAGCGGAAUACGCAAAAAGAUGCAAACUAGAUAGCAGCAGAGUAAACCUCACAUGGAAUGCUAGUUAGAAUACGUAAAAAGGUGUACAGAGUAAAUAAGAGAGAGGAAAGAACCAACUCCCGGUGGAAAAACCUGAAAGUAGGCUUUGAUGCGCCCGAGGACAACUGCUACCAACUCUUGCACGUCCCGACCGGUGUUGCUUAGCUAUUCACUCCCAAACACCGCAAACUGGCCUCGCCUCCGCGAUUAGUACCUGGGGCAAGUUUUCCUGAAGCUUAUCGGAGCGGGUAGUUCCGCUGCGUCCUGCCGAAAAUCUGAACGGGAGUCGCCGGAAGUACUAUAGUUUGCCGAAAAUCCUCGCCGAAAAAAUAAGGCACAUGUCCAAGAAAACAGAAUACACCCACACACACCCACAAAAAGCAGAAGAGAGAAUAGGAAGAAAAGAAAGAGAGAAAAAAAGCGAGCGAGGAAAAUGAAAACAGAGCAGGGUCGCCGGAAAAAUCGCCGGAGAAUACAAAACGUAAAGAUAUGAUGGUAAAAAUUGAUUACUAUUCAGUGGUAAAAUAUUAAGUGAGCUAAUCUGACUUUAGAAUGGUAAAACAUUAAGUGAGAUAUGCAGCAUAUCAAUGAAAAAAGCAAGAAAACAAAAUUUGAACAAUUUAUGCUCAAUCAAUUCUUGAAAAAUAAACCCAGUUAACGUUAUUCCACCUUUAAAUUCCCACCAGCAAAAUUAGGUUUUGGCUGUUAAAGUCUCAAACACCGACACAAAUCGAUUGAAUUAAUAGCAAAAACAAAAUCAGGGAUCUGAUAACAAAAAGAUAAAUUAUAAAAUUAGGGUGUGCGAUUGGACUUACAGUGAUGGCUGGAUCAAAUUCGGGCGAAUCGUAAAAUGGAUGAGACAAAAAAAUGAUAGAGAGAGAAAAGAGAGAACCACACACAGCUGCAAUGCCCUAGAUCUUGCUAAUCUUUAUCACCCGUAAUAAACAGCAAACUCCACCGUACAAUGACGUAAGAAUGUUCUUUAUUUUUCCGACCAAUUCUCUGCUUUCCUCAGUUCGGUAAAAAGAUUGCUAAAAAUGGCAGAGAAACCAAGUGAUGAUAUGACGAUGCCAAUACAUAGUAUAGUAUCAUAAAAAAUAUCAAAUUUACUCCCAUGAUCAACUUGGCAUUGUUAAUUUGUUUAUCUAGUUUUACUCUGCCGUAAGAAAAAAGUUUUCAUUUUUU